CAUACUUCAAGGAGAGAUACUUAGGUAACCUAUGGUAAUUUCAUCCAAAACAAAACUCUGACCCACAGGCAAAACUAAUAAUGAGGGUGAGUUGGGGCAUGUGACUUGAGAUAUUCCUCUUUAUAGUGCGUGGUCGCUAGUCCUAUCGGCCUAUUUGCUCUGGGAAGUGAAUGACCGCAGAUCACUAGCCUUCGCUACACCUGCAUUUUUUCGACUUGCGCGCGAGGAGAGGUAAGGAACGGAACAAAAGGCUAUCUGUCCCGGGCCAGCAGGUUGAUACUGCGCUCAGGUACUGUAACAUGAGACUGAACCACGUGACCCAGGGUGAUUUGAACAGUAGAAAAAAAAACUGAAACCAACAGGUAGUCUAGUCGUCUACGUCGUAGAGGCGCUCUUCGUGUCGAAGGAAAGAUAAUCCAACACUGCGAUUCAACAGCUUAUUUUUUUUAAUCGAAAUCAGCGUAUUUGGAUUUCAAAACGGGACUAUGUCAGUCUUCUAUCAGGACUACCCUUUUCACGGUUUCGCAAAGUGCGACGGAACAACAUGCUUCAUGGUUGUGAUGAAUUAACGCCACUGCUGUAUUUCCUGUCUCUCGGAUCACCUGGAAGCAGCAGGAAUUGAAAGAUCCCACUGUGAAUAUGGGGCUGGAGGAUAUGGGCCCGAGGAGAUGACCUGGGUCUCUCAUUGCCCCGCUACCCCGUCUCUGCACUCCUGUACACGGGGAGGGAUGGCAGAAGUCCUGGGUAUUCUGGCCAGGCCUGGUCUACUGGCUGGUGCAGUCUUAGUUCUGGUUUUGGGCAGUAAUCCUGUUUUGGGUGCUAAUGCCACAACGACAAAGGCCCCCGCUAGAAAUGUCACAGGCGGGAAUGAAGACCAGGAACUCGACAUUUUGCCCAUCGUACUCCCCAUUGUUGUGCUGGGCGCCCUGGCCAUAGCGCUGGCGGUUGUCUUCUGGCUCCUCUGCGUGGUCAAGAAGAAGAGACAGACGGAGGGGACUUACAGACCCAGUGCCGAGGAGCAGUCGGGAUCACACGGCGUGGAGAUGCCAGACGCUCUCAAAUUACCCAAGGAAGAAAGACUUAUUUGACCUGACUGAGAGCCUACUACUGCUAAUACUCCGUCGGCACGAGAAGGUGGUGGGAAUGUGAACGGGAGCAUUCGGAUACACGUGUUGUACCAAAGAUUGCCGGCUUCAGAAGGAUGCUAGACGUGCUCUAGCGGUUGUGGGACCAUGUCCCAGCACAGGUUGGAGGUAUCACCUCCACUGAGGAUUCCUCGAAAUCUAUUUCUUUGAAGCACAAUGACAGCAAGAAACUGAUUGUGAGCUGCCUGAUCAAGGCAGUGUAUUUCAAUGGAGUACUUCUGAAGUGGAUGAACUAGGAGCUGCAAUAGCCUUUGAUCAAACGGAAUGAAAACCUUUCAUCGAUGCUUUAGCUGCCUUCCUAUCGAUUAUCAGGUUACAGUAGGGCUUGAUUGUUUCUUCUUACAAGCUGCUAUUGUUGAGUCAUAAAAUACUAAAAGAAUAUGAAGAAAAUACGGUAGAUGUUCAUGCUACUGUAAGGUACAUUAGAUUAUGAUAAUUUGUGAAUUUAAUUUGAUUUCUUACUUUUGAUUUUGUUCUUUAACCUCAAACACAUUUCAGAGGCCUGUUCGGUCUGUAUACUUUCAUACAAAUGUAUUCUAUCAUGCUAUUUAUUCACACCCCGUCUCCAUCAAUAUGCUUUCUGACUAAUCAAGUUAACGCUAAUUAAACAAUUGAAGCAACUUGAAUAGCUUUAACUGGAGAAGGAGUGAAUGUUUCCCAGAAAAUGUUGUUGAAAUUUAAAUCUAUUUAUAUUUUUUAUCCUUAACAAAUUUCAAGUUUAUUUAAACAAUUUCAUGUCUUAAGUCCAAUUAACCACUAAAUAUUUUACUGUGAUCAUGAAAUGUCAGUUCUUUUAAUAAAAGUGACUAAUAUUA